UCUCUGGUGGCUUAGAUGGUAAAGAAUCUGUCUGCAAUGCAGGAGACCUGGGUUCAAUCCCUGGGUUGGGAA
rnacentral:tRNA from 1 species